rnacentral:rRNA from 1 species
AGUCAUAUGCUUGUCUCAAAGAUUAAGCCAUGCAUGUCUAAGUACAGGCCUAAGCAAGGCGAAACCGCGAAUGGCUCAUUAAAUCAGUUAUGGUUCAUUGGAUYUUACCCUUUCUUACUUGGAUAACUGUGGUAAUUCUAGAGCUAAUACAUGCCAACCAGUAGCUCCGACRYACUCCCNNGURYGGAAGAGCGCUUUUAUUAGAUCAAAACCAGUCCUCCCUCGGGAGGUMAAACCCCUACGUGGUGACUCUGAAUAACUUUUAGCUGAGCGCACGGYCUCCGYGCCGGCGCCGCAUCUUUCAAGUGUCUGCCUUAUCAGCUYUCGAUUGUAGGUUAUGCGCCUACAAUGGCUAUAACGGGUAACGGGGAAUCAGGGUUCGAUUCCGGAGAGGGAGCCUGAGAAACGGCUACCACAUCUAAGGAAGGCAGCAGGCACGCAAAUUACCCACUCCCGGCUCGGGGAGGUAGUGACGAAAAAUAACGAUGCGGGACUCAUCCGAGGCCUCGCAAUCGGAAUGAGUACACUUUAAAUCCUUUAACGAGGAUCYAUUGGAGGGCAAGUCUGGUGCCAGCAGCCGCGGUAAUUCCAGCUCCAAUAGCGUAUAUUAAAGUUGUUGCGGUUAAAAAGCUCGUAGUUGGAUCUCAGUUCCGGACCGACGGURCGCCGCCCGGCGUCYACUGUCGGCUUCCGAACGCUAAAGCCCGUCGGCUCGGUCGGGGUGCUCUUCAYCGAGUGUCCCGGGCGGCCGGCACGUUUACUUUGAAAAAAUUAGGGUGCUCAGAGCAGGCCRMGGCGCCUGRAUACUUGUGCAUGGAAUAAUGGAAUAGGACCUCGGUUCUAUUUUGUUGGUUUUAAGAGCCCGAGGUAAUGAUUAAUAGGARCAGACGGGGGCAUUCGUAUUGCGACGUUAGAGGUGAAAUUCUUGGAUCGUCGCAAGACGRACUACUGCGAAAGCAUUUGCCAAGMAUGUUUUCAUUAAUCAAGAACGAAAGUUAGAGGUUCGAAGGCGAUCAGAUACCGCCCUAGUUCUAACCAUAAACGAUGCUGACUAGCGAUCCGCCGGCGUUAAUCCCAUGACUCGGCGGGCAGCUUCCCGGGAAACCAAAGUCUCUGAGUUCCGGGGGAAGUAUGGUUGCAAAGCUGAAACUUAAAGGAAUUGACGGAAGGRCACCACCAGGAGUGGAGCCUGCGGCUUAAUUUGACUCAACACGGGGAACCUCACCAGGCCCGGACACCGGAAGGAUUGACAGAUUGAGAGCUCUUUCUCGAUUCGGUGGGUGGUGGUGCAUGGCCGUUCUUAGUUGGUGGAGCGAUUUGUCUGGUUAAUUCCGAUAACGAACGAGACUCUGGCCUACUAACUAGUCGUSGGGUYGUCYWGUNACCGGCYYCGGYCGGUCGCCCSUCGCAACUUCUUYUUAGAGGGAUCCGCGGCAUCUAGCCGCAAGAGACUGAGCAAUAACAGGUCUGUGAUGSCCUUAGAUGUUCUGGGCCGCACGCGCGCUACACUSAAGGGAUCRGCGUGUCCUUCCCUCUCCGAGAGGAGCGRGUARCYCGUUGAAMCCCCUUCGUGAUAGGGAUUGGGGCUUGAAAUUWWUCCCCAUCAACGAGGAAUUCCCAGUAAGYGCAAGUCAUCAGCUUGCGUUGRWUAMGUCCCUGYCCUUYGUACACACCGCCCGUCGCUACUACCGAUUGRRUGAUUUAGUGAGGCCUCCGGACYGGCGYUCCUNNNGGCGGCCUNNNUSGUCGCCUNCGAGCUGCCGGRAAGAUGUCCRAACUUGAUCAUUUAGAGGAAGUAAAAGUCGUAACAAGGUUUCCGU